AUAUUAACUAUGUUGUGAAAGGUCAUUCUUGUCCUUAAAAACUGAGCUGUAUUACUUGAAGAGUUUGGCAAUGAUUCCAUUUUAUGCACUUGUUUUCCUCUCAACAGCUUCAGGUGGCACAUCAAAGGCUGACAAUCAGUGUCUAAAUGGACUGAAGUACCUUCAUUGGGGAGAAAAUAUUCAUCUGAAUUGC